GCCAGGUGAGGUGGCACGUGCCUGUAAUCCCAGCUACUCAGGAGGCUGAGGUCAGAGGAUCACUUGAGCCCAGGAGUUCUGGGCUGUAGUGUACUAUGCUGAUCAGGUGUCUGCACUAAGUUCAGCAUCAAUAUGGUGACCUCCCAGGAGCAGGGGACCACCAGGUUGCCUAAGGAGGGGUGAACUGGCCCAGCUCAGAAAAGAAGCAGGUCAAAACUCUUGUGCUGAUCAGUAACGGGAUCAUGCCUGUGAAUAGGCACUGCACUCCAGCCUGGGCAACACAGCAAGGCCCCAUCUCU
rnacentral:SRP_RNA from 1 species